rnacentral:rRNA from 1 species
AUUGAACGCUGGCGGCAUGCUUUACACAUGCAAGUCGAACGGUAACAGGCCUUCGGGUGCUGACGAGUGGCGGACGGGCGGGUAAUUCAUCCGAACGUACCCAGAGGUGGGGGAUAACGCAGCGACAGCUGUGCUAAUACCGCAUGUGAUCUGAGGAUGAACGCGGUGGACGGAGCAGCAAUGUUUGGCCUCGCGGCUUUGGAGUGGCCGCUGUCGGAUUAGCUAGUGGGUGGGGUAAAGGCCUAGCAAGGGGACGAUCCGUAGCUGGUCUGAGUGGACGGUCAGCCGCACUGGGACUGGGCCAGCGCCCAGACUCCUACGGGAGGCAGCAGUGGGGAAUGUUGGACAGUGGGCGCGAGCCUUGUCCAGCAAUGCCGCGUGCGGGAAGGAGGCCUCCGGGUUGUAAUCCGCUUUUGGCAGGAACGAAACGGUGUCGGCUAAUACCGGGCGCUAAUGACGGUACCUGCAGAAUAAGCACCGGCUAACUACGUG